rnacentral:rRNA from 1 species
GACGAACCGUGCGAACGUUGUUCGGAAUCACUGGGCUUAAAGGGCGCGUAGGCGGCUCGCCAAGUCCGGGGUGAAAGCCUCCAGCUCAACUGGAGAAGUGCCUUGGAUACUGGCGGGCUCGAGCGAGGUAGGGGCGGGUGGAACUUCCGGUGGAGCGGUGAAACGCGUUGAUAUCGGAAGGAACGCCGGUGGCGAAAGCGACCCGCUGGACCUCUUCUGACGCUGAGGCGCGAAAGCUAGGGUAGCGAACGGG